UGGGGAAUAUUGCACAAUGGGCGCAAGCCUGAUGCAGCCAUGCCGCGUGUAUGAAGAAGGCCUUCGGGUUGUAAAGUACUUUCAGUCGGGAGGAAGGUGGUAAGGUUAAUAACCUCAUCGAUUGACGUUACCCGCAGAAGAAGCACCGGCUAACUCCGUGCCAGCAGCCGCGGUAAUACGGAGGGUGCAAGCGUUAAUCGGAAUUACUGGGCGUAAAGCGCACGCAGGCGGUCUGUCAAGUCGGAUGUGAAAUCCCCGGGCUCAACCUGGGAACUGCAUUCGAAACUGGCAGGCUAGAGUCUUGUAGAGGGGGGUAGAAUUCCAGGUGUAGCGGUGAAAUGCGUAGAGAUGUGGAGGAAUACCGGUGGCGAAGGCGGCCCCCUGGACAAAGACUGACGCUCAGGUGCGAAAGCGUGGGGAGCAAACAGG
rnacentral:rRNA from 1 species